rnacentral:rRNA from 1 species
AUAAUGGGUCAGCGACUUAUAUUCUGUAGCAAGGUUAACCGAAUAGGGGAGCCGAAGGGAAACCGAGUCUUAACUGGGCGUUAAGUUGCAGGGUAUAGACCCGAAACCCGGUGAUCUAGCCAUGGGCAGGUUGAAGGUUGGGUAACACUAACUGGAGGACCGAACCGACUAAUGUUGAAAAAUUAGCGGAUGACUUGUGGCUGGGGGUGAAAGGCCAAUCAAACCGGGAGAUAGCUGGUUCUCCCCGAAAGCUAUUUAGGUAGCGCCUCGUGAAUUCAUCUCCGGGGGUAGAGCACUGUUUCGGCAAGGGGGUCAUCCCGACUUACCAACCCGAUGCAAACUGCGAAUACCGGAGAAUGUUAUCACGGGAGACACACGGCGGGUGCUAACGUCCGUCGUGAAGAGGGAAACAACCCAGACCGCCAGCUAAGGUCCCAAAGUCAUGGUUAAGUGGGAAACGAUGUGGGAAGGCCCAGACAGCCAGGAUGUUGGCUUAGAAGCAGCCAUCAUUUAAAGAAAGCGUAAUAGCUCACUGGUCGAGUCGGCCUGCGCGGAAGAUGUAACGGGGCUAAACCAUGCACCGAAGCUGCGGCAGCGACGCUGAUGCGUUGUUGGGUAGGGGAGCGUUCUGUAAGCCUGCGAAGGUGUGCUGUGAGGCAUGCUGGAGGUAUCAGAAGUGCGAAUGCUGACAUAAGUAACGAUAAAGCGGGUGAAAAGCCCGCUCGCCGGAAGACCAAGGGUUCCUGUCCAACGUUAAUCGGGGCAGGGUGAGUCGACCCCUAAGGCGAGGCCGAAAGGCGUAGUCGAUGGGAAACAGGUUAAUAUUCCUGUACUUGGUGUUACUGCGAAGGGGGGACGGAGAAGGCUAUGUUGGCCGGGCGACGGUUGUCCCGGUUUAAGCGUGUAGGCUGGUUUUCCAGGCAAAU